rnacentral:rRNA from 2 species
CGCUCAGGAUGAACGCCGGCGGUGUGCCUAAUACAUGCAAGUCGUACGCACUGGCCCAACUGAUUGAUGGUGCUUGCACCUGAUUGACGAUGGAUCACCAGUGAGUGGCGGACGGGUGAGUAACACGUAGGUAACCUGCCCCGGAGCGGGGGAUAACAUUUGGAAACAGAUGCUAAUACCGCAUAACAACAAAAGCCACAUGGCUUUUGUUUGAAAGAUGGCUUUGGCUAUCACUCUGGGAUGGACCUGCGGUGCAUUAGCUAGUUGGUAAGGUAACGGCUUACCAAGGCGAUGAUGCAUAGCCGAGUUGAGAGACUGAUCGGCCACAAUGGAACUGAGACACGGUCCAUACUCCUACGGGAGGCAGCAGUAGGGAAUCUUCCACAAUGGGCGCAAGCCUGAUGGAGCAACACCGCGUGAGUGAAGAAGGGUUUCGGCUCGUAAAGCUCUGUUGUUGGAGAAGAACGUGCGUGAGAGUAACUGUUCACGCAGUGACGGUAUCCAACCAGAAAGUCACGGCUAACUACGUGCCAGCAGCCGCGGUAAUACGUAGGUGGCAAGCGUUAUCCGGAUUUAUUGGGCGUAAAGCGAGCGCAGGCGGUCGCUUAGGUCUGAUGUGAAAGCCUUCGGCUUAACCGAAGAAGUGCAUCGGAAACCGGGCGACUUGAGUGCAGAAGAGGACAGUGGAACUCCAUGUGUAGCGGUGGAAUGCGUAGAUAUAUGGAAGAACACCAGUGGCGAAGGCGGCUGUCUGGUCUGCAACUGACGCUGAGGCUCGAAAGCAUGGGUAGCGAACAGGAUUAGAUACCCUGGUAGUCCAUGCCGUAAACGAUGAGUGCUAGGUGUUGGAGGGUUUCCGCCCUUCAGUGCCGGAGCUAACGCAUUAAGCACUCCGCCUGGGGAGUACGACCGCAAGGUUGAAACUCAAAGGAAUUGACGGGGGCCCGCACAAGCGGUGGAGCAUGUGGUUUAAUUCGAAGCUACGCGAAGAACCUUACCAGGUCUUGACAUCUUGCGCUAACCUUAGAGAUAAGGCGUUCCCUUCGGGGACGCAAUGACAGGUGGUGCAUGGUCGUCGUCAGCUCGUGUCGUGAGAUGUUGGGUUAAGUCCCGCAACGAGCGCAACCCUUGUUACUAGUUGCCAGCAUUAAGUUGGGCACUCUAGUGAGACUGCCGGUGACAAACCGGAGGAAGGUGGGGACGACGUCAGAUCAUCAUGCCCCUUAUGACCUGGGCUACACACGUGCUACAAUGGACGGUACAACGAGUCGCAAGCUCGCGAGAGUAAGCUAAUCUCUUAAAGCCGUUCUCAGUUCGGACUGUAGGCUGCAACUCGCCUACACGAAGUCGGAAUCGCUAGUAAUCGCGGAUCAGCAUGCCGCGGUGAAUACGUUCCCGGGCCUUGUACACACCGCCCGUCACACCAUGGGAGUUUGUAACGCCCAAAGUCGGUGGCCUAACCUUUAUGGAGGGAGCCGCCUAAGGCGGGACAGAUGACUGGGGUGAAGUCGUAACA